rnacentral:rRNA from 1 species
CCGUGAGGGAAAGGCGAAAAGAACCCCGGCGAGGGGAGUGAAAAAGAACCUGAAACCGUGUACGUACAAGCAGUGGGAGCACGCUUAGGCGUGUGACUGCGUACCUUUUGUAUAAUGGGUCAGCGACUUAUAUUCUGUAGCAAGGUUAACCGAAUAGGGGAGCCGAAGGGAAACCGAGUCUUAACUGGGCGUUAAGUUGCAGGGUAUAGACCCGAAACCCGGUGAUCUAGCCAUGGGCAGGUUGAAGGUUGGGUAACACUAACUGGAGGACCGAACCGACUAAUGUUGAAAAAUUAGCGGAUGACUUGUGGCUGGGGGUGAAAGGCCAAUCAAACCGGGAGAUAGCUGGUUCUCCCCGAAAGCUAUUUAGGUAGCGCCUCGUGAAUUCAUCUCCGGGGGUAGAGCACUGUUUCGGCAAGGGGGUCAUCCCGA